rnacentral:lncRNA from 1 species
UGACUUUUGACAUAUAAGGAAAAGAUGUAUAACAUAAAAAAAAUAGUUUUGUCGUCACGUGAUCUGCUAUAAGAACUCAUUAAAGAUAAACUGAAAAUAAUAAACUUCAAGAGUUCCUUAGACCCUAAUGUGAAUGAAAUAAUUCUCAACUAUUGAUUUGUCAACUCCAGUUAAAGCUGAGCAAGUCAAAAGGAAGACUUUCUGCACAGUAAAUAAAGAGGAAUACUAUGGAGACUCUUGUCAAGCAACAUGGUGUGGAUAUUGAAGCUUUAACAUCAACGCAUCUUAAUUUUAGCAUUUCAAGUUCGCGUCCUGCUGGCUAUAUUUUCGUAUUUCACAAGUGAUGAGUGUUCUUUACAGAGGGUUGAGCUCACAAGAAACAUGACAGUAAAUUUUCUGGGAAAUAAGACAGAUGUAUAUGCUUCUAACGCUGCGGUUACUGGUUCCAGUGGCAGCGGACAUCC